rnacentral:rRNA from 1 species
GAUGAACGCUAGCGGCAGGCUUAAUACAUGCAAGUCGAGGGGUAGCAAGAUUGUAGCAAUACAAUUGUUGACGACCGGCAAACGGGUGCGGAACACGUACACAACCUUCCUACAAGUGGGGAAUAGCCCAGAGAAAUUUGGAUUAAUACCCCGUAACAUAGCGAUGUGGCAUCACAUUGCUAUUAUAGCUUCGGCGCUUGUUGAUGGGUGUGCGGCUGAUUAGAUAGUUGGCGGGGUAACGACCCACCAAGUCUACGAUCAGUAGCUGAUGUGAGAGGAUGAUCAGCAACACAGGCACUGAGACACGGGCCCGACUCCCACGGGAGGCAGCAGUAAGGAAUAUUGGACAAUGGACGCAAGUUUGAUCCAGCCAUGCCGCGUGAAGGAUUAAGGUCCUCUGGAUUGUAAACUUCUUUUAUAAGGGACGAAAAAAGGUCUUUCUAGAUCGUCUGACGGUACCUUAUGAAUAAGCACCGGCUAACUCCGUGCCAGCAGCCGCGGUAAAAC